ensembl:lncRNA
GAAAGGCAACCUCGAGGCAGCAGCAGAACAGUAUCUCUGCUCUCAGCUAAGAACAGAAAACUGAGGCUACAGUUGACACAGGAUCACCAAAGUGGACAAUAGAAAAGGAGAAGUGGGAAAAGCAGUUCCUGGUAAAGUGGAAAUAUUGGCCCGAAAAAUUCAACAGUUGGAUCAAGGCCUCGGAAAUAAAAAAAUCUAUAAUUAGGAAGAGGAAUUGUGAUUUAACACAACAGAAUCUGCGGUUGGAGAUCCAGAAGACCAGAAGAUUUGAGAAGAAAGCAGCAACAGGGAAAAACUGAGCCACUUCAUCUAGAAAGAAAGACAGACGGUCCAAAGCAGAGGAACCGACUGAGAAGGAGCUAAGAUCCUGAAGACGUGGAUCUGACACGGCAAGAAGGAUUAGCGAGAUAACGGACAGCUUUCCCGCUUGGACCCAGAAAACAGUUCCAGGUUGACAGAAUCAGAACUCAUCAACCCACAGACAGGACCUGAUUCUGGUUCAUCUUCAUUCACCUGAACAUGCAGCAGCGAAGAAACGGGAGAGGAUUCUGGGAGAAUUAUGUAGAAGGAAAUCAUUUGAAGCUGCCUGAGCUGAAGGAAGCAGCAAGAGAAAUUAACCUCGUUAACAACUACAUCUACAGAGAUGACAUCCCAGAAUAUCCUCGACCUCAGUUUCAGGUCAGUUUUCUGAAACAUGAUACAACAGCAGAAGGCUUGAAAGGAAUCCGGCAGGAUAGAGGCUUCAGAGAUCUAUGUGGAGGCUUUAGAGAUCCACAUGAAAGAUCUCUGGUUUGGUGGAGUCUGUCUGUGAGAGAUGAAGAUAUGGAAGCUGCAGAGAAGAAGCUGAUGGAGGAGGAGUACUCCGGUAUGAACGGGCAGAUCAACCUGGCGAGGUUCGCCACCUCCCCAGCCUUUUCUCCAAAAUCCCGGUUGGGCCACUUCCGCUUCACCUUCCCCCUGGAGGAGGUACUAAAGGCAUACAGUCAGCAGUUCUGCAGUGGUGGUCAGCCCGUCAUGCAGGUCUAUAAGACGGUCCUUUACAAACAGGAAAUUAUGUAUGCGGUGUUGGUCCACAGUCCAGAUGAUCAGGAGGACUCGACUGAAGACCCGAACGCCGUCUGCUUCUUCAGAGACGGCAGGUUCUUGUGGAGGUCAGAGGCCAUGUGUGGGACACACCGGUAUAAGCUCAACAAAAACAACAACAGUUUAGGAGUGGAGGAGAUCCCUCCUUAUCCUCCGAAAUAUUAUGUCUGGGACAAUGUUGCCAUCGCGUUCGAUGUUGGGGAAGAGGUGCUGGAGUUUAAUGUGGAUCAGCUCAGACAGAACCUGAAGUACUGCGAGCUAGACUCUGUGACGUACAACUUCACUGACAAGCUGACUGCUGAACAAGCUGAAGAACUGAUCAGAGACUUGUGGCCAGAGUCCCCGGUGGAGAAUCUGCCCCGUCACACUGGAGACGGUGAUGCUCCUCCCCCUGAGCGUCCUUCAUAAAAACCUCAUGUAGCUCCGCCCACCUGCGGCGUCUCCUGGUCUUAUAUUUACUGUUAUCUUUGCUCUGAUUUGCUUGCUGUAACCCCCCCCCCAUCCCCACCAAUCACAGACGUGUGUGAAGUUGUUGAUUAUGCUGAUGAUUCUCUAUUAUUAGGAUCAAUAAUAAUCCUGAUGGAUUUUAUGUUGGAUGAUUUCUGAUCAUGUCUGUGUGAUCUCAUGAUGUUUUAUAUGAUUAUUCCUAAAGACAAAUAUUUGAUGUUAUUGCUUUUACUGCAUUUUGGAGUCAUUAACUGGAGUUUAAUAUUUUAAUAAUGAUUUAUUUUAACGAUUUUGAUGAAUUUAGAAGAUUUUAUUCAAAUCAAAAGGGCAAGUGUGAUGUUACCUUCUUCUCUUAAUCUUUUGGGUAAAGGUUUACUUUCUUGUUGAGGUGAAGGUUUUGUGUUCUCUGCUGUAGAUGCUAAACUCUGUUGUAGAAACCAGAAAGACUUGUUAGGAUUUAAACAAGUCUUCACUUGUCCUUCAGUCGUGGUGGAGACAUCUCCACGUUUCUUUUUGAAAAUCACUGAGAAUCAAAGAGGAGUGCAGAGCCUUCAUUCUACGCACUCACUUCAUGCAGAAAUUGUAAUAA